UUGCAGAUCCUCUCUGCGCAGAGCUGGCCGUGCCACUGGCCCGGCCGAAAAGAAACGUUGCGGACGAAGCGAACUACAUCGGGACGCUUUGGCCGCCGAGCGAAAAAAAAACACCAUUGAGCUCGACCUCAGAUCAGGUAGGAGUACCCGCUGAACUUAAGCAUAUCAAUAAGCGGAGGAAAAGAAACCAACAGGAUUGCCCCAGUAGCGGCGAGUGAAGCGGCAAGAGCUCAGAUUUGAAAUCGUGCUAAUUUUUUUGGCACGAGUUGUAGAGUGUAGGCGGGAGUCUUUGUGGAGCACGGUGUCCAAGUCCCUUGGAACAGGGCGCCUGAGAGGGUGAGAGCCCCGUGGGGUGCCGUGCGAAGCUCUGAGGCCCUGCUGACGAGUCGAGUUGUUUGGGAAUGCAGCUCCAAGUGGGUGGUAAAUUCCAUCUAAGGCUAAAUACUGGCGAGAGACCGAUAGCGAACAAGUACUGUGAAGGAAAGAUGAAAAGCACUUUGAAAAGAGAGUGAAACAGCACGUGAAAUUGUUGAAAGGGAAGGGUAUUGGGCCCGACAUGGGGAGUGCGCACCGCUGUCUCUUGUAGGCGGCGCUCUGGGCGCUCUCUGGGCCAGCAUCGGUUCUUGCUGCGGGAGAAUGGGUGCCGGAAAGUGGCUCUUCGGAGUGUUAUAGCCGGCGCCAGAUACCGCGUGCGGGGACCGAGGACUGCGGCUUCUGUCUCGGAUGCUGGCACAACGGCGCAAUACCGCCCGUCUUGAAACAUGGACCAAGGAGUCUAACGUCUAUGCGAGUGUUUGGGUGUA
rnacentral:rRNA from 1 species